AUAAGUCUUUGUUUUACUCUGGUUGCAAAUAUCAAAAAAUUUCUACAUGUGACACGGCACCAGAGUUAAGUUAGGGUUUUUCAAAAUGCUGACACGCCGAGCUCAAAAGGUUCGCCAUCCCUGAUCUAGUUCGUGUCACUUCGUGCCCUCUCUAGCUGUGGCCCUGUCACCCACCUGGGCGGGGAGAAGGGGAGCAUGAAAUUCAAAGCAACCACGGCAUCGGUGAAGAACAGGGAGACUGAUGUGACUGGACCUACCGAGGUGGCCGUGACCUGUUUAUGUCUUUUUCGGGAGGAGGGACAGCUGGCUUUUCGCAUUCAGGGGGUGGGGCGGGUGCGCGAGCUUUUGUCAGGAGUAUCCUGGACUGCAAGUCAGGCCCGAACUAGAGGUGUCUCAGGCUCGUCCCUGGCAUUUCUUUCACUCUCCGCCUCAGGGUCUCCCCUUCUGGCUGCCUUCUUUCCACCCAAGAGAGACGCUUCCUUUGCCCAAGACAUUUCCCCUGCUUCUUCCUGGGAACUUGGCCCGGUUCCACCUUCUGUAGAGGUGCCACAGUGGCUGUGAGCUUGGACCAGACAUGCACUAGCUGGGUCACUUGAGCAAGGCCCUUAACCUCUGGGCCUGUUUCCUCCUCGAUGAAUAACAGCGACACCAACUUCCUGGCGAGGGUGAGGUCACCUAGGUAGCUCUUCGGUGUGGUAGCUGGCACAGUGCUCAGUGGAUAGUAGCCAUCGCAUCAGCACUGUUAGGCCAGCCUCCCCGUGUGCAGGCGGGGGCCGGAGCUCCCGGUAGUGGUGCUUUGUGGUGCUUUGUGGCAGGUCUGUGCAUCCUGCUGGCAUUCCUCAGUUGUAGCGAGAACACUGACAGGACGAAGGGUCAGAUCUGGUUGUCAGAGCUGCCACCAGCAGCUGGUUCUGUGCGCUUCCCUCUCAGCUAAAUGUUAAUUGCUCAGGCACACGCGGUUCCUUGGCUCGGGUGUCCUAGCCGUGGGUAUAUGGCUCAGCUGUCAUCUUCAGCCCCUCCAGAAAAACAACAAGGAGACCUUUGUGUGAUUCCCCAAUGUCCUUAGGGGGAUCGGGGCUCCAGGCAGUCCUGCAGCCCUCUCAGGAGAAGCAAGGGUGUCCCUACAGGAUAUUUUAGCCGACUUUUGGUGGCUACAGAACCAGCAGACGCAUUGAAAACUUGGGAUGAAAAAGCAAAGAAAAUUUAGGAUGGAGAUAUCCCUCAUUCGCUUCUACCAGGUAGACACUGGCUCCUGAGGUCACCAGGCACCCAUAGGAAGGACCCUGCCUGGUGCACCACCCAGGUGUAGCCCCCACUAGUAAGCAUGACCUGGGAGAGGUCAAGGUGAGUGGCUUCCCAGGUCCAGUAGAGAGGAAGGACAAACUACCAGCUGCAGCAGAGACCCUUGGAGGGCUCAGGGAGGACGUUCAAUGCAGCGGGCGAGUGUGGGCUCUGGAGUCUGCCAGACCCGGAUCUAAGGUCUGGCUCUGCCUCUGAGAGAUGCGACUGGCUGCCUGCUUGUGUGCGCGUCUCUGAAAUGGUCCUGGACGGGCUGUUGGGAGGGUUCCUCAGGAUUAUGCCUGCGAAGCACUUAAACACGGAGCGGGGAACGGCGCUUACUGUCAACGUCUGUUACUGGUUCUACACAGGCCUCUGCGUGGGCCCCCAGGGGAGGUGGGUGAGAGAGAAAGAUGCGUUGUGUGGGGGCGGGAACUGAGGGUGGCGGGGGUUUGAGAGGAGGGUCUCCUGGCUGGUGUCGUGGUCUGAGCCCAGAGCAGCCCUGUUGGCAUCCUGAGGCCAGAGAGCCUUUCCCACAGGCGGACACCGGUGUCUGAGACGCCUGGAAGGGCAGCAAAUGGGUGGCAGGGACUGCUGGCCUGUGUGUGUGUAGGUUCGGACCAAGAGGAUGAAGGUGGUGACCAUGUGGUGCUGGCUGGGCCAACAUGGGGGAACUCCAGUAUAAAUGGUGCUUAAUGUGAAUGUCAGUUACUGGUUAUAUACAGCCCCUUGAGCCCUAUUCGGGAGCAUCCGAAACACUGGUGGGCUCUGCAGGGGCCAGGAAACCCAGUCGCUGGUGGGGCCUGUGCAUUCUGUUCACCCACAGGGUUUACUGAGCAUGUGCAUUGUGCCGGGUCCCGUCCCAGUUUAACAAAAGGCUUGCUGGGGAAGGGCUUUUCCUGUUCAUUUCCCUGUGCGGUGAGCCCACUGCGUCCCGGCUGAGGAAGGCGCUGACACAGGGACGCCUGAGCCUCCUUAUCACCCCGAGUGUAACGAGCAGAUGCUGUUGGAGCAGGAACUAGGUGCGGGCUGCGGCGCAGAGUGUGAGCCAGGGACACGUUCCUCUCAGUCGGCAGCUAGUCAUGAUUGUAAAAAUUUUAUUCUCUUUAAUAACAGUAAUAAUUCCACAAAAAUUAUACAAAGUACAUUCAAUACUCAGGGGUGGCGGGGACAGGAGGAGAGGAGGCCCGUUUGGCCUGGAAGCAUCACCAGUCGACUCCAACAAAGGAAGCCCAGCUGGGCUGGGGGACACGGGGGUGGAGGUCCGAUUGUAAAAAAUAAAGGUGGAUCGGUUAAAAAAAAAA